rnacentral:rRNA from 1 species
UAAGGAAUAUUGGUCAAUGGACGCAAGUCUGAACCAGCCAUGCCGCGUGGAGGAUGAAGGUCCUCUGGAUUGUAAACUUCUUUUAUUUGGGAAGAAAUGCAUCUUUUCUAAGGUGUUUGACGGUACCAGAUGAAUAAGCACCGGCUAACUCCGUGCCAGCAGCCGCGGUAAUACGGAGGGUGCAAGCGUUAUCCGGAUUCACUGGGUUUAAAGGGUGCGUAGGUGGGCAGUUAAGUCAGUGGUGAAAUCUCCGGGCUCAACCCGGAAACUGCCAUUGAUACUAUCUGUCUUGAAUAUCGUUGAGGUAAGCGGAAUAUGUCAUGUAGCGGUGAAAUGCUUAGAUAUGACAUAGAACACCAAUUGCGAAGGCAGCUUGCUAACCGAAUAUUGACACUGAGGCACGAAAGCGUGGGGAUCAAACAGG